rnacentral:rRNA from 1 species
CCCGAAACCAGGUGAUCUACCCUUGGUCAGGUUGAAGUUCAGGUAACACUGAAUGGAGGACCGAACCGACUUACGUUGAAAAGUGAGCGGAUGAACUGAGGGUAGCGGAGAAAUUCCAAUCGAACCUGGAGAUAGCUGGUUCUCUCCGAAAUAGCUUUAGGGCUAGCCUCAAGUGAUGAUUAUUGGAGGUAGAGCACUGUUUGGACGAGGGGCCCCUCUCGGGUUACCGAAUUCAGACAAACUCCGAAUGCCAAUUAAUUUAACUUGGGAGUCAGAACAUGGGUGAUAAGGUCCGUGUUCGAAAGGGAAACAGCCCAGACCACCAGCUAAGGUCCCAAAAUAUAUGUUAAGUGGAAAAGGAUGUGGCGUUGCCCAGACAACUAGGAUGUUGGCUUAGAAGCAGCCAUCAUUUAAAGAGUGCGUAAUAGCUCACUAGUCGAGUGACACUGCGCCGAAAAUGUACCGGGGCUAAACAUAUUACCGAAGCUGUGGAUUGUCCUUUGGACAAUGGUAGGAGAGCGUUCUAAGGGCGUUGAAGCAUGAUCGUAAGGACAUGUGGAGCGCUUAGAAGUGAGAAUGCCGGUGUGAGUAGCGAAAGACGGGUGAGAAUCCCGUCCACCGAUUGACUAAGGUUUCCAGAGGAAGGCUCGUCCGCUCUGGGUUAGUCGGGUCCUAAGCUGAGGCCGACAGGCGUAGGCGAUGGAUAACAGGUUGAUAUUCCUGUACCACCUAUAAUCGUUUUAAUCGAUGGGGGGACGCAGUAGGAUAGGCGAAGCGUGCGAUUGGAUUGCACGUCUAAGCAGUAAGGCUGAGUAUUAGGCAAAUCCGGUACUCGUUAAGGCUGAGCUGUGAUGGGGAGAAGACAUUGUGUCUUCGAGUCGUUGAUUUCACACUGCCGAGAAAAGCCUCUAGAUAGAAAAUAGGUGCCCGUACCGCAAACCGACACAGGUAGUCAAGAUGAGAAUUCUAAGGUGAGCGAGCGAACUCUCGUUAAGGAACUCGGCAAAAUGACCCCGUAACUUCGGGAGAAGG